UCUCCCCCUUGUGCCCCCACUAUUUCUCUCUCUCUCACACACACACACUGAUAUUCUCUGGCAUUUGUCCUCCCAGUCAGAGUCCUAAAAUGUCUCCUGCCUUCUCUUGGCGAGGCCGCUAGUCUGCAGGCUGGGCCUCCCUCCGCAGCGUGCCUCACCUGGGCCUGGUCGGCCCUCCGGGUCAUUGCCCCAGCUGGCAAAGGCAAUGUGUCCAGGACACCUUCACAGCCAUUCUCAGCUCGAUCGUCACAGUGGUUGGGGGAAGCCAACGGCAGAACAGCCACCAGGCGACGUGCCAUACAGAGCCAUGAGCCACCAGAUCCUGCUGCUCCUGGCCGUGCUGACCCUGGGCCUGGCCACCUCCCAACAGCGAGACAAGGUGCCCUGUAAGAUGGGGCCAAUCCGGACCAGGCCGUGGAAGGCCAGGCCACUGAUGGAAGUGGGGCAGGUGGCAGCAG
rnacentral:lncRNA from 1 species